GUAGGCUGGUUGUCCAGGCAAAUCCGGAUAAUCAAGGCUGAGGUGUGAUGACGAGGCACUACGGUGCUGAAGUAACAAAUGCCCUGCUUCCAGGAAAAGCCUCUAAGCAUCAGGUAACAUCAAAUCGUACCCCAAACCGACACAGGUGGUCAGGUAGAGAAUACCAAGGCGCUUGAGAGAACUCGGGUGAAGGAACUAGGCAAAAUGGUGCCGUAACUUCGGGAGAAGGCACGCUGGUGUG
rnacentral:rRNA from 1 species